CCGAAGGAAAUCAAUAAAUUUCUUUAUUUGUGAUUCUUCUUAACUCAAGCGAACAGAAAGAAAAACAAAAGUGCUUAGUUUUGCAAAUAGCAUCAAAUUGUAGGUAUGCGCAACUUUUAAAAACUACAAUGGAAUCAAAAAGGGCAACUUUGAAAUACAGUUUGCACCUUUAUAUAAAAAUGCACACAUCUGGCAUUCUUGAUUGAUUUGUUUUUCUAAAAUGCUACAGCUCUUAUCCGCUAUGACAAAUGUACAUUCUUGAUGUCAGGUGUCAUCAUUCGAAAUUGAAAGAAAAAUUACUCUAUUGGAUGAGCAUAUCCGAAAACAGUUUUAAAUUGUUAUAACUUGAAUCGAAAUGUUCAUUAAUUGUCAUUUGAUUAUUCAAAGAACUUAGAACUGCACCUCACUUAACCUGUUUAGUAUACAUUACCUGAUAUUUCUACCAAGGCGCCUCUAUAUAUACCAGGUGAAGCAAUCAUAUGAAAUGCAUUUUCAGCCAUAUUAGAAUUGCUGUCGGUAUUGUUUACAAAUAGCAUCAGAACGCUGCCAGCGACUCCCUACAAACUGCUACGAUGCUUAUUCGAACGAUGCCUAUUAUGUUCGGCAUUCGCGAAUUUAUGUGAAAAAGCAGGAUGGUUUUGUAGAAUUUCAUUCUCAUUUCCACUACUCUCGGCGUAUCCUACCUACAAAACAAACAACCCCCGCUCCACAAACCGUAAUCCACAUCUUAUUGAAGUGAUGAUGUUGCUUCACCUGUUAUACAUCGAUAUAAGCGCCUUGGGCGCCUCUAUAUAUACAUUGACAUAAGCGCCUUGGUUUCUACCAAGGCGUUAUACUAUAGGUGGACCGCAAUGUCAAAAUUGCUGUUCGUCCAUUGCUCGUGAAAAAACCAAUUUGUUUACAAAACAAAUCAUAUCUUUUGGUUACAAAUGCAUUCGUUGGCAAAAUAGCUGCUCGCGCUUUACUGUAGGCAGAUAUCUACAAUCAGCGGUCGAAUUAAAAACAGUGCAGAAGGAUGUUUUGAGCAGGAACCUUGUUCCGUUUAUGUUGCUGAGCUGGCAGCAAUCGACUUCGCAUUGGGGAUGAUCUCCAACAAGCCUGCAGACCAUUACUUCAUUUUCUCGGAUAGUCUCAGUUCGCUUGAGGCUCUCCAGUCGAUGAGAACUAGUAGGCACCCAUCUUAUUUCCUCACAAAAGUGAGGCUGCAGAUGAGUGCACUGAUCGAAAGAUCUUAUAAGAUAACCUUUGUAUGGGUCCCCUCUCAUUGCUCAAUUCCUGGCAAUGAGAAGGCGGACACUCUAGCAAAGGUGGGUGCCCAGGAAGGCGAAUUGUUUGAUAGACAGAUUUCAUACGAUGAAUUUUUCCAAUUACUGCGUCAGAGUUCCCUCUUGAGUUGGCAAACCGAUUGGGACACUGGAAGUCUUGGGCGGUGGUUAUAUUCAAUUAUUCCAAAGGUUUCUUCGAGAGCGUGGUUCAAAGGUUUGGACGUAAGUCGUGACUUCAUUCGUGUAAUGAGUAGACUUAUGUCCAACCACUACUCGCUAGAUGUGCACCUCCACAGAAUAAAUCUUGUUCAAAACAAUGUCUGUCGGUGUGAAAACGGUUACGAUGACAUCGAUCACGCAGUUUGGCAAUGUACGGAUAAUUACGCAGCCAGAGAGUACCUUUUGAAUGCCCUUGAGGUCCAAGGAAGACAACCCUAUGUUCCUGUUAGAGACGUGUUGGGAACUCGCGACAUCUGCUAUAUCAGUUGAUCUAUAUGUUUGUGAAACGGUCUAGUAUAAGAAUUUAAUGCUUUUGUGUUUUUUUUCUUUUUCGUUAUUAGUUUGUUUGUAUUGUCCCCUCAUCUCACCGUCGCCCACCCUCGACAGCUAGUCGAACACCAGAUGCUAUCCCUGGUCAUUAUGCACAAUGCUACAGUGCGUGCGGCAACCCUCGGUUGAGACAAUGAUACCUCAUAUCCAUAUCCCUAACCUGACCCGUCCCACAAAAAUUGUUGCCCCUCUAACCUCGAGUAAACCGCGAGUAAUCGGUCGAAACCUACUAAACAUAGAUUUAAGAUGAAAUUUUUGUAUAAACAAAACUUGAGUUAGCGGCUCCGCAAAGCUUAUGCGAUUGAGCCUUACAAAUAAACGAAUUGGAAAAAAAAAGGAUGUUUUGAGUAUAUUUUACCUUCUAGCCGCGCAAUCAAUGCUUUUCUUUCCAAGCAAGCAGCGUUUUAAUCGGCAAAACCAUGAAAUAGAAUCGUACGUGGUACGAGUUUAUCGGCACAAUCUGAUCAAGGACGGAGGCAUCAUCAAACGGAAACUAUGCGAGAAACUUUUCGAAGAGAUAAAACUGCGCCGCAACACUCGUGUCAAAAUGGGUGCUGAUGAACCACGAUUUGAUAACACGUAAUGAGCCAAUCCAACAGCAUGCCAAUGGUAAUCGACCAAAUCAUUUUAAAUUCAACAUGGAGCGGUUGCGAAACCUACAAUCACGCUGAGUUGACUUCCAAAAAGCAAAACAAAUUCCUGCGUAUGCUGGAUGCAAUUUUACAAAACAACAAAGUUUUGAAGGAAAUUAAAGAGAUGGUAGUGGCGAAUCGACUUCUAUCGGAAAUUCGUUAUGUGACUGCGGUGGAACGUAUGCUGAAACACAAUUUGGACCCCUCUUUGCGCUGCUGCUUUGUAUGUCGAGAGUAUUUCCGCAUUGCCGAUGAGUAUACCAGUCAUUUCGAAAAAUUGCACGGUGAGAAAUUUCUUAUUGUUGCGACGGUGGAUCAAUUUCAGACUAGUCAAAAGUUCAACGUUCUACAUCACUACAAUGCCCUUAAUCCGGUGACAAUAUUCACGAUUUGCAACGUAUACCACACAGCCCUAAUAAAAAAAACAAGAAAA